CCCGAACCUAACCAACACCUAACACCAGCUCUAACCCUGCAGCUCACCCUAACCUAACCCUGGCUCCCGGUGGCGGGCUGCCCUUUCCCUCCAGCCUCCCUGUCCUUGCUGGCCCCAACCGCACAUGCAGACCCCUCCUUACCCGCUGCACCGCACACUCCCGCUGCUCAGCAUGAGGGACGCCUAGGGCAGGCUUGGCAGGAGGGUGAGGCCUGGGACUGGUGAGGCUGGGGCAGGGGUUUAGUGGGAAGUUGAGUCCUGGGGUUGGUGAGGCUGGAGCGGGCUUGCCGGAAGGUGAGGCCUAGCAUGAGCUUGGCGGGAAGGUGAGGCCUGGGGUUAGCGAGGCCGGCACCGGCGCGUGCUCAUGCCUCAACUGCCCAGGGGAGGAGGCCGAGGUCAUGGUAGGAGGCACCUCACCUGCUGAGGUCAGAGACGAAGCAGCGCUCUCUGCUGGACAUAAAGCAUGGCCGACUGCCAUGCUCUGGUCAGCAGGCGGAAGGAUCCAGAGAGCAGGGUGUGCAGCCGAAACUCUGUGUGCCUCAACCACAGAACUACAGUACCCAGAAACGUCAGCGUGUCACCACCACCCAUCAUGGUUCAUCAUGGUAACCUCCCUAGGACACCUCUUUGCCCAUGACUGUGGUACCAGGAAGGCGCCCGGAAGGAUCAAAGUACUUGUUGUAGUCAGUGGUUUGCAAAGGAAUAGAUUUAAUGCAGGGCACACAUAAUUUAUAGGAUUAUUGUAUAAUAUUCACCCCAAAAGUCAAAUGCAGAAGAGUGCAAGAGAUCUGUCCAUGUGCUGGAAACCUAAAGAAUCCAGCCAAGUCUUGGAGCCUGCAAAGUCCAGCCAAAGGCCUAGAGCACACAGAAAUGUCCUUCAUGAGUCCACAUCAAGGAUCUGCACUGGGAAGCCCCGAAGGCCAGUGAUGGAUUUUAGAAAGUCUGUGCUGGCGAGGUAAAGGAUCUGUGUCAGAAGGCUAAGGGAUUCACACUGAAGCCAGGAAGCGACAUUCAAGGUGAAGACCAGAGCUCCCCUGAAGAGAACAGCAGCCAUCCCCAGUGACAGCGAGGACCACAACUGCUUCUCCAACAAAAACAGCCAAGUUUCUAUCAGGAAAACCAGCCACAGCAAGCUUCUCUAGGAAAAUAAACAUCAUGCAUCUUCCCCUUCUAUUCUCCUUUUGUACCGUUGGCAACACUCCUCAGGUGGGUCUUCCAUGCUCAGAACCACACUGACUCAGUUCAGCUGGGCAUUCCACUUAAACUGACCAUUAGUCAAUCCACCACAGUAACCAAACGCCUCUGCAUGCACACGCCUGUACUGCAGUAGCUCUAAGUAUCGCUGUGACACACACACCCCUUCCAGGAUACCAGACAAUUGCACAUCUGGGACUGCAGUACCCAGAACCACCCCUCCCCCAACAACAACAUCAACAACAACAAGACCCAGAAUCCUCUGGGUGCUCUGCAAGAACUAGGUACCCAGAAUGAUUCCCAAGGACUCUGCUACCCAGAAUCCUCAAUGUAACCCUUACAAAUACUGCAAUACCCAGAAGCCUCAGAGUGACUGUCCUGAGAAAUAUGAUACACAGAACCUUCC
rnacentral:lncRNA from 1 species